rnacentral:rRNA from 1 species
UACGUAGGGCGCAAGCGUUGUCCGGAAUUAUUGGGCGUAAAGAGCUCGUAGGUGGUUUGUCGCGUCUGUCGUGAAAGCCCAUGGCUUAACUGUGGGUCUGCGGUGGAUACGGGCAGACUAGAGGUAGGCAGGGGAGAGCGGAACUCCUGGUGUAGCGGUGGAAUGCGCAGAUAUCAGGAAGAACACCGGUGGCGAAGGCGGCCUUCUGGACAGUGACUGACGCUGAGACGCGAAAGCGUGGGGAGCAAACAGG